GACAGCUGAAAUUGUCAAAUCCCUCAAACAAAACCCCCUACGUACAUCUCCUUGGAGUUCCUUUUGUGUGCUGGGACUGUAACCCAGACGUUGAUGAAACGGUUCCUACCAGUCAUCUUGGAACGGUACAAUAUCCAGAUGUCAGUGUCCAGAAAAGAUGUUGGAAUCCACAAGCAGCCAUGACAGUCCAGAAGGCCAACGAAGCAGCCCCACAUUGUCAACAGAAACUACUCUUCCUAGAAGAAACAACAGAUUUUUGUUUAUAUAGCUAGUAAUUUACAUAAACAGCCAUUUCAAGUGUCACAAUAAUUUCUGAACUAAAUUUUCUUUUUUUCUUUUUUUAUCUCGUUUUCAAAAUAAUACAAUUCUGGCCUUUUACGUUUUUACACCACAUGAGACUUUAAUUUAAAUCAAACACAAAAAAUCCCUUAUGUGUUUUACUAAAGCUAGCACAACAGCUUUAAGCAAUUAGCUAAUGUAACAUGCUGUACUUAGCUUAGCUUCCAGGGAGUGAGGGGGUAGACAGCUAAUUGCAAAAAAACUUAUUUACUUCACAUCACACGAAAUAUUACAUAUACUGGCGGGAUUUAGUUUACCAUAUUUCUCAAGAAAAUUACACACAAACAAUUCAAUUCUAUUACAACAAAAUAGUAAUGCUAACCAGCUAACUUCAACUCAUCAGGAUAAUCCUCUUAAUUGGAAACAAAGGUAAGAUGGAGUUCGCCCUUCUCUCUCUUUGACAGCCAUUUAACGUUCCAGCGUUGCAAUGUUCCCUUACAAUACCGCCAGCUCCACUCAGUGGUCCCUCUUGGACAUCUUACAUUGCAAAUUUUUUGUUUUACUUUUCAGAAACUUGAAUGAAUUUCACACAUAGAUUGUCAAAGGUUUUAUACAUAGAGUUUACCCGCCUGGGCUGAGCGAGGGACACCGACGCCUCAAGUGCGUAGGAGGCGUUUAUGGGGCAUCUGUAAUUCGGGCCUUCAGAACAUAACCUUGGUGUCACCAGCAACAUUGUUAGAACCAUGAACAUAUAAAUCUCAACAUAAUAACGUCCUGAGCCAGAUUUGUAUAGUUUCAAGUUGUACUGAGUAUUUCCGUAAGCAGAGUGGCGCAGCGGAAGCGUGCUGGGCCCAUAACCCAGAGGUCGAUGGAUCGAAACCAUCCUCUGCUAAAUUUAUUUUCUCGGAGGUUCCCUUCUAUUAUUUUUCGGAUGGACCCUGAAGGGGCUUUAAACUGAAGUGAAACAAACCGGAAGUACAAAUGUCCGCCGCUGGUCGAUUUUUUUCUAAAUUUCUUUCCCUCUCCCUUUUUCUUUUAAAUUGAGUUAGUUAUUUAUCAUGUACAAAUUUGUUUUUUUACAUUGUAAUGAUGUUCAAUAAAGGGGAGUGUUAUAAACCAUUAUAAAAUGUAUUCAUAAGAAGAUAACAAAAUAAGACAAAAUAAAUUAAAAAACAUUAAAAGAUAAAUGCAAAAAUAAACUUACAAUGUUGAUGAUAAUAGGAGCCACCAUCAAGAGUCUUUUAAAAUGGAUUCCUAUUUAAAACAAGCAAUUUGCUUAUCUGUUACUACUGUUAAUAAUAACAAUAUUUUUUUAUAACCCUAAGAAGUGCUUUAAAUGUAGUUUGACUAAUCGUUUGUUUUGAUGCAGAGGAGGCAGACUUCACUGUCAAAAUAACGACUAUCAUCUGGUAUUCAAUAAAAAAGAUAAAUAAAUAAGGUGUGAUGUGUGCAUUUUAGCAUCUUGAAAUCAUGCUGCAGAUGCAGAGAAGCAUUAUCCACCUGUGUCCUUUAUAAAAGAAGCAAUGAUUAUCCACAUGGUGACUUUAUUUGCUGACAUUAAACCUGUAGCUGCCUUGGGUGUGUGUGUUUUUGGGGGACUCGUCAACAGAGGGCACUGGUUGUGGAAAAAGAAAGAAAAUAAACUGCACUGAUACAGGCAAUAUGACUGACACACUAA